rnacentral:rRNA from 1 species
UACGGAGGGUGCAAGCGUUGAUCGGAAUUACUGGGCGUAAAGCGCGCGUAGGCGGUUUUUUAAGUCGGAUGUGAAAGCCCCGGGCUCAACCUGGGAUGGUCAUUUAGAACUGGCAGACUAGAGUCUUGGAGAGGGGAGUGGAAUUCCAGGUGUAGCGGUGAAAUGCGUAGAUAUCUGGAGGAACAUCAGUGGCGAAGGCGACUCCCUGGCCAAAGACUGACGCUCAUGUGCGAAAGUGUGGGUAGCGAACAGG